CAGUAGCCACGGGAAUACGGAGGGGCUAGCGUUGUUCGGAAUUACUGGGCGUAAAGCGCACGUAGGCGGCUUUUUAAGUCAGAGGUGAAAUCCUGGAGCUCAACUCCAGAACUGCCUUUGAUACUGAAAGUCUUGAGUAUGGGAGAGGUGAGUGGAACUGCGAGUGUAGAGGUGAAAUUCGUAGAUAUUCGCAAGAACACCAGUGGCGAAGGCGGCUCACUGGCCCAUUACUGGCGCUGAGGCACGAAAGCGUGGGGAGCAAACAGGAUUAGAUACCCCCGUAGUCCCUGUCUCUUAUACC
rnacentral:rRNA from 1 species